rnacentral:rRNA from 1 species
AUGGAAAAGGGUGCUCUGAUGAGUGGAUGCAUUGGGUAUGAAACAAACAGGGAAAACGUGAUUAUGCUGCAUUGGAUGCCAAAUCGGUCACGCAAAGAAGUGGAAACCAAGCAAGUGAUUGUUACAAGAGUCAAGCUUCUCUGCUCAGCCUAUCAUCCUAAUUUAUCAGCAGGAGAGAAGCCUCACAUCACGGUACCCACGGCCUACAUGGUUUGCGCCCCUGAACACGGUCAUAUACUGGAACAUAAGCAAAGCAUGAUAACAAGAAACAAGUUGAACACACAUCAUCAUAUAUUGGAACAUAAGCAAAGCAUGAUAGCAAGAAACAAGUUGAAAAGAACACCAUCAGAACAACCGUAA